AUACGGGGGGUGCAAGCGUUGUCCGGAAUCAUUGGGCGUAAAGGGUUCGUAGGUGGAAUUAUAAGUCUGGUGUGAAAGCCCACGGCUCAACUGUGGAACUGCACUGGAUACUGUUUUUCUUGAGUUAUAGAGGGGUUUGUGGAAUUUCUGGUGUAGAGGUGAAAUUUGUAGAGAUCAGAAAGAACACCGGUGGCGAAGGCGACAAACUGGCUAUUAACUGACACUGAGGAACGAAAGCGUGGGGAGCGAACAGGAUUAGAAACCCCUGUAGUCC
rnacentral:rRNA from 1 species